GCGAAUCGCCCUUCGGGGUGCACCAGGCGCGAAAACUUUACAAUGCCGGCAACGGCGAUAAGGGAACCUCGAGUGCCAGGUUACAAAUCUGGCUGUCGUGAUGCCUAAAAAGCAUUGCAUAGCAAGGGCCGGGCAAGACCGGUGCCAGCCGCCGCGGUAACACCGGCGGCUCGAGUGGUAACCGUUAUUAUUGGGUCUAAAGGGUCUGUAGCCGGCCGGGUAAGUCUCUUGGGAAAUCUGGCAGCUUAACUGUCAGGCUUUCAGGAGAUACUGCCUGGCUCGAGGCCGGGAGAGGUGAGAGGUACUUCAGGGGUAGGGGUGAAAUCUUGUAAUCCUUGAAGGACCACCAGUGGCGAAGGCGUCUCACCAGAACGGACCUGACGGCAAGGGACGAAAGCUAGGGGCACGAACCGGAUUAGAUACCCGGGUAGUCCUAGCCGUAAACGAUACUCGCUAGGCGUCGGCCACGGUGCGACCGUGGUCGGUGCCGUAGGGAAGCCGUGAAGCGAGCCACCUGGGAAGUACGGCCGCAAGGCUGAAACUUAAAGGAAUUGGCGGGGGAGCAC
rnacentral:rRNA from 1 species